UUUUAUGGAGAGUUUGAUCCUGGCUCAGGACGAACGCUGGCUGCGUGCUUAACACAUGCAAGUCGAACGCUGAAGCCUGGUGCUUGCACCGGGUGGAUGAGUGGCGAACGGGUGAGUAACACGUGAGUAACCUGCCCCCGACUUCGGGAUAAGCCCGGGAAACUGGGUCUAAUACCGGAUAUGAC
rnacentral:rRNA from 1 species